AUUGCGUCCCUCCCGGAGUCGACAGCAACGUAAUGACGUCAUUACGUCCUAAGGCUCCCCACGCCGCUCACGUUGAGCUGAGCUUUUCAGUGGUUUUCUGUUUUCUCUCUUCUUUUCCUCGGUUUUGUGAAAGAUGUCGGUGUUUCACGACGAGGUGGAGAUCGAAGACUUUGAGUUUGACGAGGAGACAGAGGCGUACUACUUCCCGUGUCCCUGUGGAGACCGAUUCUGCAUCACUAAAGAGGAUCUGGAGAACGGAGAGGAGACGGCGACCUGUCCGAGCUGCUCGCUCAUCGUGAGAGUGAUCUAUGACCAGAAUGUGUUUCAGUGAGUGGAGCUGUGGUGACUGUCAUGAGAUCUGCUGGAGUCAUGUGAGAGGAGGAGGAGGAGGAGGAGGUUAUAGAGAGAGAAGAGAGGAAGAUGGAGGGUCUUCUUUCCCUCUGUGUGAGAAUCUGCUGCUGCUGUGAAGAAGAGGAAGAGGACAGGAAAGAAGAACCUAAGGAGGAGGUGAAGAUGAAGCAGCAGAGUUUUAAAAGCAGUUGCUCCUCUCUGCCGCUCGCUGAGUGUGACGGCCCCCCCCCCGCCUUUUGGUUCAGCACCCUGCAGGUCAGACCCCCACGUCAUCAGCGAGGACGGAGGAGCAGCGAGUGGGGGGACAGCCCCUUAUCCUGGAAGCCCGGCCUGCGCUUUGGAGCCUCUCAGUCCUACCUGAGUCUGGAGAAACUGGGGGAGGGGGCCAACGCCUGCGUCUAUAAGGGGGUCAGCAGGAUCAACGGGCAGCUGGUGGCUCUGAAGGAGAUCCGCAUGAAGACCGAGGAGGGGGUUCCCUUCACCGCCAUCAGAGAGGCGUCUCUUCUCAAAGCUCUGAAACACGCUAACAUCGUGGUUCUGCACGACAUCGUGCACACCAGAGACACACUGACGCUGGUCUUUGAGUACAUGCAGACAGAUCUAGGUCAGUACAUGAGCGAACACCAAGGAGGUCUCAACUCCCACAACGUCCGGCUGCUGUUGUUUCAGCUGCUGCGGGGCCUCCUCUUCCUCCACUCGCAGAGGGUGCUGCACCGGGACCUGAAGCCCCCCAACCUGCUGCUGAGCUUCAGAGGGGAGCUGAAGAUCGCUGACUUCGGUACCAACCACACACACUCUGGACUUCAGACUCCCUUCAGCACAUUAAUCCCCUGGUUGUGGUCUGUCUCUGGUCCUGGUUCAGGUCUGGCCCGCUCUCAGUCGGUCCCGGGUCUGGUUCUGUCCUCUGAGGUGGUGACCCUGUGGUACCGCCCCCCCGACGUCCUGCUGGGGAACACUGAGUACAGCAGCAGCCUGGACAUCUGGGGGGCGGGCUGUAUCUUUGUAGAGAUGCUGCAGGGGGCGCCGGCAUUCCCCGGAGAGAGGGACCGGAGCGGGCAGCUGCAGGAGAUCUGGACGGUGCUGGGGGUCCCGUCUGAGGCCAGCUGGCCUGGAGUCUGCCAGCUGCCUGAAUUUAACCCAGAGCGAUUCCUUCCCUCUCAGCCACAGAAGCUCCGCAACGUUUGGAAACGGUUCGGGUUAAUAAAUAUAUACACUUUACGAGGCUGCAGCAGUUGCCUGGGAAGACGGAGGACCUUCUGGACCGGAUGUUGAAGCCCCCGCCCUUAGAGAGGAUCUCUGCACAGGAAGCUCUGCUGCAUCCCUACUUCCACACGCUGCCACCUCCCAUCAUGCACCUGGGCGACACUACGUCCAUCUUCAAGGUUCCUGGACUUUGUCUGGAGGCCGAGGUCAGAGCCGGGCGAAGAUCAAGACCCUCCCUGCUGCACCGCGCCCCCCGCUGGUGACCACCUUUCACCUGAGCAGACGAGAGGAGGGGGAGAUGACCCAUCUACAUCAACCUGAGCAGAGAGGAGGGGGAGAUAACCCAUCUACAUCAACCUGAGCAGAGAGGAGGGGGAGAUAACCCAUCUACAUCAACCUGAGCAGAGAGGAGGGGGAGAUGACCCAUCUACAUCAACCUGAGCAGAGAGGAGGGGGAGAUGACCCAUCUACAUCAACCUGAGCAGAGAGGAGGGGGAGAUGACCCAUCUACAUCAACCUGAGCAGAGAGGGGGAGAUGACCCAUCUACAUCAACCUGAGCAGAGAGGAGGAGAUGACCCAUCUACAUCAACCUGAGCAGAGAGGAGGAGAUGACCCAUCUACAUCAACCUGAGCAGAGAGGAGGGGGAGAUGACCCAUCUACAUCAACCUGAGCAGAGAGGGGGAGAUGACCCAUCUACAUCAACCUGAGCAGAGAGGAGGAGAUGACCCAUCUACAUCAACCUGAGCAGAGAGGAGGGGGAGAUGACCCAUCUACAUCAACCUGAGCAGAGAGGGGGAGAUGACCCAUCUACAUCAACCUGAGCAGAGAGGAGGGGGAGAUGACCCAUCUACAUCAACCUGAGCAGAGAGGAGGGGGAGAUGACCCAUCUACAUCAACCCGAGCAGAGAGGAGGGGGAGAUGACCCAUCUACAUCAACCUGAGCAGAGAGGAGGGGGAGAUGACCCAUCUACAUCAACCUGAGCAGAGAGGGGGAGAUGACCCAUCUACAUCAACCUGAGCAGAGAGGAGGGGGAGAUGACCCAUCUACAUCAACCUGAGCAGAGAGGGGGGAGAUGACCCAUCUACAUCAACCUGAGCAGAGAGGAGGGGGAGAUGACCCAUCUACAUCAACCUGAGCAGAGAGGAGGAGAUGACCCAUCUACAUCAACCUGAGCAGAGAGGAGGAGAUGACCCAUCUACAUCAACCCGAGCAGAGAGGAGGGGGAGAUGACCCAUCUACAUCAACCUGAGCAGAGAGGAGGGGGAGAUGCCCCAUCUACAUCAACCUGAGCAGAGAGGAGGGGGAGAUGACCCAUCUACAUCAACCUGAGCAGAGAGGAGGGGGAGAUGCCCCAUCUACAUCAACCCGAGCAGAGAGGAGGGGGAGAUGACCCAUCUACAUCAACCUGAGCAGAGAGGAGGGGGAGAUGACCCAUCUACAUCAACCCGAGCAGAGAGGAGGGGGAGAUGACCCAUCUACAUCAACCUGAGCAGAGAGGAGGGGGAGAUGCCCCAUCUACAUCAACCUGAGCAGAGAGGAGGGGGAGAUGACCCAUCUACAUCAACCUGAGCAGAGAGGAGGGGGAGAUGACCCAUCUACAUCAACCUGAGCAGAGAGGAGGGGGAGAUGACCCAUCUACAUCAACCUGAGCAGAGAGGAGGGGGAGAUGACCCACUGAUAAUUACCUGAGAAAACAGUGGCAGGGGGGAAUAAACCCUCAGUGCUGAAUGAAGCCCUGAAGCUAAGCUAAGUGCUACCAGCUGUUGUUGACUAACCCACGGAGAGCAUAAAUAAAAAGUGUUGUUGUUAUUUCA